ensembl:snRNA
AUCUUCCGUUGGGGUGGCAAAGGACACUCAGUGAAUGUGUAGUGAGAGCAUCCCUGCUAACGCCAUAAUCAACACGGUUGCAUCACCUGAGCUUCUUGCUUGGGCUAUGGUGCAAUUUUUAGAACC